UACGUAGGGACCAAGCGUUGUCCGGAAUCAUUGGGCGUAAAGAGCGUGUAGGCGGCUUGUUAAGUCUUGCGUGAAAUCUCGGGGCUCAACCCCGAGCGGUCGUGAGAAACUGGCAGGCUAGAGUGCGGGAGAGGAGAGUGGAAUUCCUGGUGUAGCGGUGAAAUGCGCAGAUAUCAGGAAGAACACCCGUGGCGAAGGCGGCUCUCUGGAACGCAACUGACGCUGAGGGACGAAAGCUAGGGGAGCAAACAGG
rnacentral:rRNA from 1 species